CCUACGGGAGGCAGCAGUAGGGAAUAUUGGUCAAUGGGUGCAAGCCUGAACCAGCCAUGCCGCGUGCAGGAAGACGGCCUUCUGGGUUGUAAACUGCUUUUGCCAGGGGAUAAAAGGCCCAUGCGUGGGACAUUGAAGGUACCUGGUGAAUAAGCCACGGCUAACUACGUGCCAGCAGCCGCGGUAAU
rnacentral:rRNA from 1 species